UACAGAGGGUGCAAGCGUUAAUCGGAAUUACUGGGCGUAAAAGGGUGAGUAGGUGGUAGAUUAAGUUAUAUGUGAAAUUUCCGAGCUUAACUUGGGAAGUGCGUAUAAUACUGGUUUACUAGAGUACUGUAGAGGAUGGUGGAAUUUCCGGUGUAGCGGUGAAAUGCGUAGAUAUCGGAAGGAACACCAGUGGCGAAGGCGACCAUCUGGACAGAUACUGACACUGAGUCACGAAAGCGUGGGUAGCGAACGAGGAAUUGAUGAAACC
rnacentral:rRNA from 1 species